rfam:Micromonospora humi strain DSM 45647 genome assembly, contig: Ga0070213_118
CGGGACGUGGCGCAGUUUGGUAGCGCACUUGACUGGGGGUCAAGGGGUCGUCGGUUCGAAUCCGGCCGUCCCGA